GGGGCUAUAGCUCAGUCGGUUAGAGCACUCCGCUUAUAACGGAGAGGUCGCUGGUUCAAGUCCAGUUAGCCCUACUA
rnacentral:tRNA from 1 species